AAAAACCCUCUAAAACAGAGGAGAAGUUCCAAGAAAAUGUCUAACGGGACCUGCUGACAGAGAUAGAAAACACAGGUGAUGCUACAAAGCUUAUUAAAUAACUUCAUAUUUAUUUUUUACAAUAUAUCAUCAUGCAUCUGUAAAAUCUAAACAUGUGAAUUCUGGUAUCUAAAGAUUUUUGUAUGUUUUCCAUAUUGCUAUUUUUCUUUUCUGCAUUUCCCCUAUUCUCUAGUUUGUUUAUUUCUAAUAAGGAGCUGGAGGCCGUGAAGAUACAGAUCCAUGAUAUUGUGGAGAAGCAGGCCCAGCUGAGCGAGUGGAGAGCUGUGCUGGAAAUAUUCAGGGGUUGAUGCUCAUAAGUCCAGGGUAAGUAUACAGCUAACCCUACUACCACCUCUACUCUGUGUGGUUCUCUGCAAAGGCCCGGUGUACCCAGGAUGCGAUCUUCCCAGAUGUCCUUCACCCUAUUUCAUAGUGUAAGACAUGAUCCAGGCCCUGGGCGACGACCUCUCUCCAUCCGCCGCCUCCGGUCUUCAGGAUCUCCACCAGAACCCGAUUCGCUCCACUUCGCGAGACAGAACAAAACGCUGUGAUCAUCAGAGACUCCAUCGUCCGGCACGUUUGCGCUAUGUUAGCUGAAGGUAAAGUCCACACUGACUACUUCCCUGGUGCUCAUGUUCUUGAUAUUUCUGCACAGAUUCCCGUGACCCUGAAGAGUGAGGUGGGCAUCAGAGCGGACGGAGACACUGAAGAGGGACUUCAGGAGCCUGAUCAAGACAGUGCGCAGCAUAUCGCCUGCAUGAUGAUCAUCGUGUCAGGACCACUUCCCACGUAUAGAUGAGGACAUGAAAGGCUUUUUAGAUCUCCUGUUGGACAACAUCUCCAGGACACUUCGCUCCAUAUGACUAGGCAGUUUGUGAAAAGAGAUAAUCAAGAGAAGUCAGUUCCAGAUCCACCCUCCACACCAGACCUCUCUCUCACGAGGAUUGCUGUCUACUAGCAUAUUGUGUUCUUCAGCUCUUCAGACUUCGGUGGAUGCAGAUAUUACUCAGGGACAUGAACACUAGAAUAUUGCAAGAAUAGAGAAAGUAAGAAUUACUUAAGAUUUUAGAAUUUAAUGUUAAUUGCUUAAACAUAUACAGUAUUGUUCAAAAUAAUAGCAGUACAAUGUGACUAACCAGAAUAAUCAAGGUUUUUAGUAUAUUUUUUAUUGCUACGUGGCAAACAAGUUACCAGUAGGUUCAGUAGAUUGUCAGAAAACAAACAAGACCCAGCAUUCAUGAUAUGCACGCUCUUAAGGCUGUGCAAUUGGGCAAUUAGUUGAAAGGGGUGUGUUCAAAAAAAUAGCAGUGUCUACCUUUGACUGUACAAACUCAAAACUAUUUUGUACAAACAUUUUUUUUUUCUGGGAUUUAGCAAUCCUGUGAAUCACUAAACUAAUAUUUAGUUGUAUGACCACAGUUUUUUAAAACUGCUUGACAUCUGUGUGGCAUGGAGUCAACCAACUUGUGGCACCUCUCAGCUGUUAUUCCACUCCAUGAUUCUUUAACAACAUUCCACAAUUCAUUCACAUUUCUUGGUUUUGCUUCAGAAACAGCAUUUUUGAUAUCACCCCACAAGUUCUCAAUUGGAUUAAGGUCUGGAGAUUGGGCUGGCCACUCCAUAACAUUAAUUUUGUUGGUUUGGAACCAAGACUUUGCCCGUUUACUAGUGUGUUUUGGGUCAUUGUCUUGUUGAAACAACCAUUUCAAGGGCAUGUCCUCUUCAGCAUAGGGCAACAUGACCUCUUCAAGUAUUUUAACAUAUACAAACUGAUCCAUGAUCCCUGGUAUGCGAUAAAUAGGCCCAACACCAUAGUAGGAGAAACAUGCCCAUAUCAUGAUGCUUGCACCUCCAUGCUUCACUGUCUUCACUGUGUACUGUGGCUUGAAUUCAGAGUUUGGGGGUUGUCUCACAAACUGCCUGUGGCCCUUGGACCCAAAAAGAACAAUUUUACUCUCAUCAGUCCACAAAAUGUUCCUCCAUUUCUCUUUAGGCCAGUUGAUGUGUUCUUUGGCAAAUUGUAACCUCUUCUGCACAUGCCUAUUUUUUAACAGAGGGACUUUGCGGGGGAUUCUUGAAAAUAGAUUAGCUUCACACAGACGUCUUCUAACUGUCACAGUACUUACAGGUAACUCCAGACUGUCUUUGAUCAUCCUGGAGGUGAUCAUUGGCUGAGCCUUUGCCAUUCUGGUUAUUCUUCUAUCCAUUUUGAUGGUUGUCUUCCGUUUUCUUCCACGCCUCUCUGGUUUUGCUCUCCAUUUUAAGGCAUUGGAGAUCAUUUUAGCUGAACAGCCUAUCAUUUUUUGCACCUCUUUAUAGGUUUUCCCCUCUCUAAUCAACUUUUUAAUCAAAGUACGCUGUUCUUCUGAACAAUGUCUGAACGACCCAUUUUCCUCAGCUUUCAAAUGCAUGUUCAACAAGUGUUGGCUUCAUCCUUAAAUAGGGGCCACCUGAUUCACACCCGUUUCUUCACAAAAUUGAUGACCUCAGUGAUUGAAUGCCACACUGCUAUUUUUUUGAACACACCCCUUUCAACUAAUUCAACUAAUUGCCCAAUUGCACAGCCUUAUGAGCGUGCAUAUCAUGAAUGCUGGGUCUCAUUUGUUUUCUGAGAAUCUACUGAACCUACUGGUAACUUGUUUGCCACGUAGCAAUAAAAAAAUAUACGAAAAACCUUGAUUAUUCUGGUUAGUCACAUUGUACUGCUAUUAUUUUGAACAAUACUGUAUAUAUUUAGAUAUAUUUUUGUGGCAGUGUGAACUGGCCAUAAUGCUGUAUGAUAGGUGUGAGAUUCAUUAAACUUGAUUUGCUAUAAUACAUCUGUUCAUAAGCUAUAGCAUAUUAUUUUCAAUGAAUUAUUUGUAGUGGUUUGGUUAAGGGUGUGAUUAGCUGAAGAUUAUUGUGGGAUCUUGUGAUUAGUUGAUGAAUGUGUGCAUUGUUAAUGAUAAUAUUUAAAUGCAAUGUACUGAGUGCCUACUAAGACUUGCAUGUUGUGCAUAAUGUUUUGACCCUGGAUGCUUACAGAAGGGUAUAGAUAUUUCAAUAUAUGGAAAUGUAUUUAUUAUUAAUAUAUCUCAAUCUAUGUGCUUCUGUAUGGGCUGAAUGCUUUCAUUCAUAUUUCGCUGUAUAUCCUGUUUUUAUUAAUAAUCUGGGUGUAUUACUGUUCAUAUUUGCUUGUUAAUAAAUUAACUGAAUUCA